rnacentral:lncRNA from 1 species
AACAUUAGAAUUAUACAAACAGGGUUAAACUUAAGGUUUUUUUAUAUUAUUUUAAAGUCUAUAAAUGCAAUCACUUGUAACCACUGAGCAUGUCUGAAAAGUUCUGUUAUAAGCAUUACAAGUCAGCCCAUUAUUUGCUUUAACAGACAGGGCAAUACUUUAUUUGCUCCAUCGCUGGCUACACAUCUACUUAUCAAGGGAAUCUCAAAUACGCAAUGAUUAUCAAAGCUUUUGCUAUUUGACAAAGCGAGUGUUGUUGCCUCUAUAAUAUAUUGUUUUAUGUUUUUGUAACUUGUACUUUUGUGUUGAGCCCUACAAGUAACAACCUAUCACCCAGCCA